rnacentral:tRNA from 2 species
GCCCGAUUGGCUAUUGGCAAAGCGCGCCUGUGAAGGUGGCAUUGUCGGUUCGAAUCCGACAUCGGGCA